ensembl:lncRNA
CAGCAAUCAUCCUGCCUGGGAAAAACUGUCGAAUGGCAAGAGAGAGUUUAAAUUACGGCUACAAAUGUUUUUGUGGAACACAAAGUAAACAGACAAAGAAAAAGCUGAUCCAUCACAAAAGUGUACAGAACAUAACAUGGUGCAAGGUUGGGAUUCACAGUUUCCCAGAGACUAUGGGUUGAGGAGGAAUUGGAAGUUUGUCGGCUUAGACCUGGUGUCAUUCCAUCAGUGUUAAACUUCCCGGCUCAUCUUGGAAGAGUACGUGCCAGAAAGACCACGACCAAGCAGCCUUGAGAUCUUAGGCAGCGUCUCCCUGAGGUCCCUCUCUAUCUCCCCACACAUCCACCAACCACUGGAACACAUCUCCAAAGUUCUGCAGGGCCAGCUCAGCUUCCCCUCAGAAGAAGUGCCGCCACCUGCCAGAUGAAGGAGCCUUUUGAGAGGCAGCUGGCAUCGUGAUUGGACUGUACUUUGGUCUGUUCCAAUCCAGCUUCAGCUCCAGAGACGGCAGGCGGGACGAGUCAACGGAGGCCUGGUGGACGAAGGCAUGCAGCUGAGUACAAUCCAGAAAACAACAGAGGAGGAGUGCAGUGGCCCAGGGCCAGAACAACCAGAGUAGCAUCGUAUGUCUCUUAGAAAACAUCAUAGUAUAGCCUUUGGUAUGAAAAAACGCCAUCAUAUACAUCGUAUAUUGUACAAAUAACAAGUCAAAGGAAAGAGACAUACAUUGUAGAAUUGUAGUAAUUGUGGGCUGACUGAUUUACUGAUUAUCAGUAUUUUAUUUUUUACUGAUUUACG